UAGUUUAAUUGUAAUAGUUUAAAUAAAACUCCGAUUUUGUAAAUCGAAAAUGACAUCUUAC
rnacentral:tRNA from 1 species